rnacentral:rRNA from 1 species
CCCUUAGAUGGUCUGGGCGGCACGCGCGCUACAAUGAUGCAUUCAAAAAGUCUUCUGACCUUAGAAGGUUGGGUAUUCUCCAAAGUGCAUCGUGAUGGGAAUAGUUUAUUGCAAUUUUUAAUCUUGAACGAGGAAUUCCUAGUAAGUACAGGUCAUCAACUUGGGUUGAUUACGUCCCUGCCCUUUGUACACACCGCCCGUCGCUCCUACUGAUUGAGUGUCUCGGUGAAUUCUUUGAUCUUCUGUCGAUUCAGUUCACUGAUCCGACGGUGGAAAGUUGAAUGAACUUCGUCACUUAGAGGAAGGAGAAGUCGUAACA